AUGAGGCUUCCGGAACGGCGACGUUUUGGGGCCUUUUCUUUUGC
rnacentral:antisense_RNA from 1 species